UAGGCCAAAAAUUAGAUCCUC
rnacentral:siRNA from 1 species